rnacentral:piRNA from 1 species
GCCCAAGAGUGGAUGUGAGCCUGUGAGC